rnacentral:rRNA from 1 species
AACGAACGCUGGCGGCAUGCCUAACACAUGCAAGUCGAACGAGACCUUCGGGUCUAGUGGCGCACGGGUGCGUAACGCGUGGGAACCUGCCCUUAGGUUCGGAAUAACUCCCCGAAAGGGGUGCUAAUACCGGAUAAUGUCUUCGGACCAAAGAUUUAUCGCCUUUGGAUGGGCCCGCGUUGGAUUAGCUAGUUGGUAGGGUAAAAGCCUACCAAGGCGACGAUCCAUAGCUGGUCUGAGAGGAUGAUCAGCCACACUGGGACUGAGACACGGCCCAGACUCCUACGGGAGGCAGCAGUGGGGAAUAUUGGAAAAUGGGCGAAAGCCUGAUCCAGCAAGGCCGGGUGAGUGAUGAAGGCCGUAGGGUUGUAAAGCUCUUUUACCCGGGAUGAUAAUGACAGUACCGGGAGAAUAAGCUCCGGCUAACUCCGUG